UUAAUUGAUAGGUAAAGCCAAAAAAUUCAUUCUUCCAAUUCAACAAAACAAUUUCAUUUAACACACGAACAUAUUACCUAUCAGCGGAACUCCUACACCUCUUAAUGGUGCAGGUGCUAGUUCAUUUGAUUCACUAGAUGUUCUCAUUUGUUGAGAUAUUAUUGUUAUUGGGCAGGAUCCAGGAAGAUUAUUACACCUAAUGGCGCCAUCAAUGCAGAAUCAUGUGCAUGAGGGAGAUGUUUGGAGACUUUAGUGAACACCACCACAGGUCAAUCUCAUGUGUGAAAGAAUUGGCAAGCACUUCAAGGAUGAAGAUUGAAAAGUUUGAUGGCUAGAACUUUUGAGGUUUGGAAGCCCAAGAUGGAGAUAGCAUGGAUGGAGAUUAGUGAGUUGCUUUGUACAAAACAAAGGCCAUUGGUUAUGAUGACAAAAGAUUGGAUGAAAAUGGACAGGAAGGCAAAAAGUUGGAAAGAAUCUUGCCGCCUUUAUUCAAUAUUGCUCAAUGUCUCAAGUGAAGCUACCACAAAAGAGCUAUGAGAAAAUACAGUCUCUUUGUAUCAGCGUGAACAAACUUUUUCUUCAUAAGGAGUUGCAGUUCCUUAAAAUGAGUGAUGGCAACUUUGUGAGGGAAAUUUGAAUGUAUUCGAUAUCAUGGCAAGCCAAUUAGACUUUGAUGAUGUUAGGGUGUAUAGAAGAUGAAUGCAUUACUUUGU